rnacentral:rRNA from 1 species
UACGUAGAGUGCAAGCGUUAAUCGGAAUUACUGGGCGUAAAGCGUGCGCAGGCGGUGAUGUAAGACAGUUGUGAAAUCCCCGGGCUCAACCUGGGAACUGCAUCUGUGACUGCAUCGCUGGAGUGCGGCAGAGGGGGAUGGAAUUCCGCGUGUAGCAGUGAAAUGCGUAGAUAUGCGGAGGAACACCGAUGGCGAAGGCAAUCCCCUGGGCCUGCACUGACGCUCAUGCACGAAAGCGUGGGGAGCAAACAGG